rnacentral:rRNA from 1 species
CAUCACAUCCUGGGGCUGAAGUAGGUCCCAAGGGUAUGGCUGUUCGCCAUUUAAAGUGGUACGCGAGCUGGGUUUAGAACGUCGUGAGACAGUUCGGUCCCUAUCUGCCGUGGGCGCUGGAGAACUGAGGGGGGCUGCUCCUAGUACGAGAGGACCGGAGUGGACGCAUCACUGGUGUUCGGGUUGUCAUGCCAAUGGCACUGCCCGGUAGCUAAAUGCGGAAGAGAUAAGUGCUGAAAGCAUCUAAGCACGAAACUUGCCCCGAGAUGAGUUCUCCCUGACUCCUUGAGAGUCCUGAAGGAACGUUGAAGACGACGACGUUGAUAGGCCGGGUGUGUAAGCGCAGCGAUGCGUUGAGCUAACCGGUACUAAUGAACCGUGAGGCUUAACCUUACAACGCCGAAGCUGUU